rnacentral:misc_RNA from 1 species
GAUGAAGAACGUAGCGAAAUGCGAUAAGUAAUGUGAAUUGCAGAAUUCAGUGAAUCAUCGAAUCUUUGAACGCACCUUGCGCCUUUUGGUAUUCCGAAAGGCACACCUGUUUGAGCGUCAUGAAUACCUCAAUCUCCAUCUUUUCUUCGGAUCGAUGGGUGACUUGGAUGUUGAGCCCUGCUGGUAUGCUAUAUCAGCUGGCUUUAAACUUAUUAGCCGGCUCUGUACUGGAUCGGUUUGACUCGACGUGAUAAUAUUAUCGUUGAGGAUGCAUGUCUCAUGCAGCCGGAAAGUAUCAAAGCAGCUUCUAGCUUGCCUUUAGUGCACUUUUACAUUUUAGACCUCAGAUCAGGUGGGACUACCCGCUGAACUUAAGCAUAUCAAUAAGCGGAGGA